rnacentral:rRNA from 1 species
GACGGAGGAUGCAAGUGUUAUCCGGAAUCACUGGGCGUAAAGCGUCUGUAGGUGGUUUAAUAAGUCAACUGUUAAAUCUUGAGGCUCAACCUCAAAAUCGCAGUCGAAACUAUUAGGCUAGAGUAUAGUAGGGGUAAAGGGAAUUUCCAGUGGAGCGGUGAAAUGCGUAGAGAUUGGAAAGAACACCGAUGGCGAAGGCACUUUACUGGGCUAUUACUAACACUCAGGGACGAAAGCUAGGGUAGCAAAUGGG